CGGCUGGCGACCCCAGAUUGGGACAGUACGUGCAGGGCUUGGCUGACUAUGGGUGGCGCAUUUGCGGGCUGUGUGCGCCGAGACGCUUGGCGCAGCAGCGUGAACCUGGUUUUGAGGCCAGCUUGCUGGUACCCGAACUUGGGGGAACGCUAUUUGCUCUGGGUGUAUCAAAUGAACAUGGCUUACGGGCUAAGUUGGGUGUCAAGCUGUUUGCCGGUGGCGGUCACAUGUGGACACGUGCUGUGUAGGCGGUUUGAUCUCUGACCAGCCAACAUGUUCUUUCUCGGUGUAAGAGCUGGUCAUCUCUCCGACCCGUCUUGAAACACGGACCAAGGAGUUUAUCGUGUGCGCAAGUCAUUGGGCGUUGAAAACCCAAAGGCGCAAUGAAAGUGAAUGUCUCCGCAAGGAGCUGAUGUGCGAUCCUGGUCUCUUCGGAGGCCAAGCGCAGCAUGGCCCCAUCCUGACUGCUUGCAGUGGGGUGGAGGAAGAGCGUACGCGGUGAGACCCGAAAGAUGGUGAACUAUUCCUGAGCAGGAUGAAGCCAGAGGAAACUCUGGUGGAAGUCCGAAGCGAUUCUGACGUGCAAAUCGAUCGUCUGACUUGGGUAUAGG
rnacentral:rRNA from 1 species